GACCUCUGAGCUGCAGCCUAGCGCCCAGAGUACGGCUCUCUCCAACUCUCGGGCGAACUUGACUGCAGGCAAAACAGCAGGGGAGCUUGGCCAGGUGGGACCCUGCUUCCCAGCCCCAGAACUUUCUUCCCUUGAGCAGACAUGAGCUACCAGCAGCCACAGCUGAGGGGUCCUCUGCAGAGAGAGACAGACCCGAGUGACAGAGAGAGCCUGGUCUCCGGACAUGAACACGGAGGGAAAUCGAGUCAGUCUGCAGCUGUUUUCAAUGUAGUCAAUUCUGUUAUAGGAUCUGGGAUAAUAGGAUUGCCCUAUUCAAUGAAGCAAGCCGGAUUUCCCUU
rnacentral:lncRNA from 1 species